rnacentral:rRNA from 1 species
UGGUGAAUUUUGCACAAUGGGGGAAACCCUGAUGCAGCGACUCCGCGUGAUUUAGAAUGCCUUCGGGUUGUAAAAAUCUUUUCUAUGGGAAGAAAAUGACAGUACCAUAGGAAUAAGGACCGGCUAAUUACGUGCCAGCAGCCGCGGUAAUACGUAAGGUCCGAGCGUUGUCCGGAAUCAUUGGGCGUAAAGGGUACGUAGGCGGGUAAGCAAGUUAGAAGUGAAAUCCUAUAGCUCAACUAUAGUAAGCUUUUAAAACUGCUCAUCUUGAGGUAUGGAAGGGAAAGUGGAAUUCCUGGUGUAGCGGUGAAAUGCGCAGAUAUUAGGAGGAAUACCGGUGGCGAAGGCGACUUUCUGGCCAUAACCUGACGCUGUGGUACGAAAGCGUGGGUAGCAAACAGG